GUAUUACUACAUGUAUGUGGACCUACAGGGAGGGUAUUAUGGCGUGUAUGUGGACCUACAGGGAGGGUAUUACGGCAUGUAUGUGGACCUACAGGGAGGGUUUUACGGCAUGUAU